CGGUCGCGGCGCAGGAAGUGGGCUCUCGGCUCCGCUUCAUUCCUUUCCCCUGAGCCAGGCGUCUUCGCGCCUUUAUCAAAGUUAUUUUUACGCGUUGAGAAAUUUUCAAGUGAGCACUUGUGCGGUGGCACCUUCUCCUUGUCGCGGUUGGGCCUUGAAGAAAUUCCCCGGCUUAUUUAUAGCCCGUGUUUAUUUUUACUCAAGUCCUGAACUUGAGCCUCUAGAAGUAGUCUGAGCGGCGGCAGAUCGGGAGGGAAUCCUGGCUUUGCGACCACGGAUCCAGUAACUGGGUCCGUUCUGUGACCUGGGGGAGCCCCCGCGGGGCCGAGAAGAGGAACAGACCCAAGUUCAGUGCCGGGCUAGGGGCGCUGCCGGAGACCCCGUGCAGGCAAAAAGCGACCUUGGCCAUCCAGCCCCUCCCGCAGUGCACUUUAAUCUCAACCCCCCACUCCAGGUGCAAAAUCAGACCGCCCUCGUCCUCCCUUACUGGUUGUUCCCUUCUGAGAUCGGAUCAGUGGCAUCAGACUUUUGAGGAAAGUGAUGACUUAGGUUUCUCUUGACCCUGAAGCUCAGACUUACACAUCCUCUUAGUCUCUUGGGAGCUCCAUGCGGUGACGUGGAGCCCUUCACAGAAACAGAGGUUGUCCAGAGAGGGUGUGGAUUUACAGUCCUGGAAGACAAUUUUGACAAAAACUCCGGAUUUGGCCUUGAACGUUCGGAUUCCCUAUGUGACUGGCUUGCUCGAGCCUGAUGGAGCCCGCCUUUCAGGGAGGGGAAUGCCUACUUCAGUCAGCUGGAUGCUGACCAAAAACAUCCACCUUGUCCGGGCACUUGGUCCUGACCCAAGGUGCUGACCCACCCUAAAGCAGGAGAUGGGAAGAGUACGUUUAAUGUGAUUUCAAAAACAUUGGGCUUUUGGAAGGAAACAUUCUAAAUAAGCAUUGCUCUUCAUGGUCCUAGACAUGAACAGAUGCCAGUCUCAGCAUCCAUUAAAAUUCAUCAACAACGGGACUGCAGAAGGUGGCCGGAUCUGGAGUUGAUGCUUUCUGUCCAGAACAGACAGGACUGGCUGUGCAGAGGUGUCAUGGGAUGAAGGCACCUGAAGGUCCCCUCUAUUCACAGGGGUUCUAAAACCGAGCUUCUCAGGAAACCUAGAAAUAAGAUAUUUUUUCCUCCUAAAUGAUUUUUAAUAAUGGCAGUCACAUCAACCAUAAUUUAUUUCAACCUCAGUAGUUGCAAGUAUGUAAUAAUUUACCUACCUGUUGUAAAGGAAGUUUUGCUGAGCAAGAAAGAUCAGAGGGAAAACAUCUAAUUUAUGUAACAGAAAAACAUGUUUGUCUUGAUUGUAGAAGCCCUCAUUUGUAUAUUAUUAAUUUAAUGUUGAUUUAAAUGAUCCUUCUCUGUUCCCUAAAUAAAUCUGCCAGUGUCUUCAGGGGGCAAGAUUC